GGGGGUGGCCGAGUGGUUGAAGGCAGCAGACUGAUACUCUGUCCUACCGAAAGGUAGCGCGGGUUCGAAUCCCGCUCCCCCCGCCA
rnacentral:tRNA from 1 species